rfam:Triticum aestivum genome assembly, contig: Triticum_aestivum_CS42_TGACv1_scaffold_578923_7BL
CUAGUACUCCCUCCGUCCGGAAAUACUUGUAAUCAAAAUGAAUAAAAAGGGAUGUAUCUAGAUGUAUUUUAGUUCUAGAUACAUCCUUUUUUGUCCAUUUUGAUGACAAGUAUUUUCUGACCGAGGGAGUAUAUU